AAGUCGUAACAAGGUUUCCGUAGGUGAACCUGCGGAAGGAUCAUUAACACGUAUCCACGUAUCAACCAACCGCGCAACUGUUUUCAGCUCGCCCUUGAGUGUACACGAAUUGGCUGCCGUUGAAUGGAGUAGUGAAUGGGAUUCCCUUCGGGGAAUCAGCUCCACUCGACCUACAGGAGUUCGCUCCGACAAUUGUAGUGCGCUCAAGGCAAACACCCUCUCACUCGACUCUCCAUUCAUGAGUUCGAGUGGCAGGAAAACUUUUAUACAAACCUAUUUCACACCCUUUUUGCUAGUUGACUUUUAUACUGUUGCGUAUUCUCCGCUUCGGCGUGAUGCGCACACGUUUAAUUUAUUUGAACGUAUAAAACAACUCUGUGCAAUGGAUAUCUUGGUUCUC
rnacentral:misc_RNA from 1 species